rnacentral:rRNA from 1 species
GACGAACGCUGGCGGCGUGCCUAAUACAUGCAAGUAGAACGCUGAAGGAGGAGCUUGCUCUUCUGGAUGAGUUGCGAACGGGUGAGUAACGCGUAGGUAACCUGCCUGGUAGCGGGGGAUAACUAUUGGAAACGAUAGCUAAUACCGCAUAAAAUUGAUUAUUGCAUGAUAGUCAAUUAAAAGGUGCAAUUGCAUCACUACCAGAUGGACAUGCGUUGUAUUAGCUAGUUGGUGAGGUAACGGCUCACCAAGGCAACGAUACAUAGCAGACCUGAGAGGGUGCUCGGCCCCACCGGGACUGAGACACGGCCCCGACUCCUACGGGAGGGAGCAGUAGGGAAUCUUCGGCAAUGGACGGAAGUCUGACCGGGCAACCCCGCGCGAGUGAAGAAGGUUUUCCGAUCGUAAAGCUCUGUUGUUAGUGAAGAACGAGUGUGAGAGUGGAAAGUUCACACUGUGACGGUAUCUUACCAGAAAGGGACGGCUAACUACGUG